CCUACGUGAGGCAGCAGUGGGGAAUAUUGCACAAUGGUGGAAACCCUGAUGCAGCGACGCCGCGUGAGUGAAGCAGUAAUUAGUUAUGUAAAGCUCUAUCAGCAGGGAAGAAAAUGACGGUACCUGUGUACGAAGCACCGUCUAACUACGUGCCACCAGCCGCGGUAAUACGUAGGGGGCAAGCGUGAUACGGAUUUACUGGGCGUAAAGGGAGUGUAGACGGCAGUGCAGGUCUGGAGUGAAAGGCGGGGGCUCAACCCCCGUACUGCUCUGGAAACUGUACGGCUGGAGUGCAGGAGAGGUAAGUGGAAUGCCUAGUGUAGCGGUGAAAUGCGUAGAUAUUAGGAAGAACACCAGUGGCGAAGGCAGCUUACUGGACUGUAACUGACGUUGAGGCUCGAAAGCGUGGGGAGCGAACAGGAUUAGAUACCCCAGUAGUC
rnacentral:rRNA from 1 species